rnacentral:rRNA from 1 species
GACGAAGGGGGCUAGCGUUGUUCGGAAUUACUGGGCGUAAAGCGCGUGUAGGCGGUUGCCAAAGUCGGGUGUGAAAGCCUUGAGCUUAACUCAAGAAAUGCACUCGAUACUUGGUGACUAGAGGACCGGAGAGGAUAGUGGAAUUCCCAGUGUAGUGGUGAAAUACGUAGAGAUUGGGAAGAACACCAGUGGCGAAGGCGGCUAUCUGGACGGUUUCUGACGCUAAGAUGCGAAAGCGUGGGGAGCAAACAGG